UUUUAAUAUCAUAAAGUGUUUAACUAAAUCAGUUAUAGUGUUUGAAGGCCACAUUAUGCCAUUAAUGUCGUAUUAUAAUCAAUUGAUAGUAUUAAAAACUCACAUGGUUACUUCCAAUAUAUAUGCUCAACAUUGUGUGUAAGAUAUAGUUAUUAUUGAUAAUCUAAUUAAUCUACUAACCAAAAAGAAGUACAUGUAUAGCCUUACUGUUUAUUGUUCAGGUCAGAAUUCAUGCUUAAAAGAAAGAAAUGGCAGCUCAAAUCAAAGAAUUACACUCCCAUUAAUGGUGCUAAUUGCUCAGAAAUUUUUUUAUUAUAUAUAGAUACAUCUUCCACUACUUUCAUUUUUAUUAUGUCUCUAUUUUAUGUUAUAAUUUUUGUUUAUGCAUGUAAUAAUAAGGCUAGAUUACUUAUACUUCUGUUUUAACUUGGAAUUAUGUUAAUAAUAAUUUACUUUUGUGAGAGAAAUGAAAUGUAUUUAGACAAACAUCAAUGCAGAAAAAAGGAAUAUAACUGUUGCUCUUUCACGUACCCUUAAUACACAUAUAUAAAAGCAAACCCUAUACGCAAUUAGCAUAGUUUGUACAAUUUUAGCAUGCACUGAUGCUUGUAUAUUUGAUCAGAGUAUUAAUUACAAUUAAAUGAUUGUGCAGAUUUUAGGUAAAAAUCAAACAUGCAGACACUUAUCAUUUAGACAUACCCUUUUCCCAUAGCUCUUUCUUUUUUUCUUUUUUUUUAUCAACCCUAAAUAUAUAGGAAAUAAACAUGGUUGUUUUAAUUUCCCAUCAUUUUUUUUUCUGGAGGAUUUCAACCGUCUGCAUUCCAUUUCAUCAACAAGACCUUUAGAACCUGAAAUUGGCAUAGAACUUGAAUGAAAAUCUGUACUCCUUAAAUUACUAAGAACCCUAAAGUAUCUAAUAUAUAGGUAGACAAUCAAUAUACUUUAGUUAGUUUCAACACAGAAACGUAGAAUUAAGUUCGAUGGCAUAGGAUUAACUGAAGUAAGUAACUCAUGGUAUUGAAAUUAACUACGUCCAUGGUAUUGAUUACUCCAACCAUUACAAAAAAAAUCAACAUUCCACAAAAGUCAGAUUCUGACAUAACCGAUAUAAUAGUCUGAAAGACUGAUAAUACCGAAGAGAUAUGAAUGGUAUAGAGUACUAUGCGUGUUAAAAAUGCAUAAACUAUCCACCAUGAGUAUGUGCAUAGAGAACACACAAAAAAAAAAAUCACCUUUUUGAAAGAUUGUUGUUCAAAACUUUCAAUUCAACUUUAAAAAUACUUCUGGGUUCAAUCCCAAAAUUUAAAAUAAAGAAAAGAGAGACGAGUACAUACCAGAUAAAACCUAACCAAAAUCAAUAUUUAAUUCCAGUUAAAUCUAUGCUUCUGUAAAACCAUGUUCAUUACUACAAAGAAUCCCAUUUUUCGUCACAAAAUCCAUACCUUUGCUGAUCAAUUUUUCUUCUUAACCGAGCAUCCCCAAAACCCUAGCAGUUAAUCUGGUAAACUCAGGAGUAAAAUAAACGAAAAUUAGGAUGGGUUUUAAGUAGAAUCUUAUGUCUAAACUGUCAUCAGAUGCAAACAUAAAGCUGUUUUCAGUGAUUAGUCAACAUAAACCUCUUAAACGUAGGCUAACUGAGAGAACACAAGAUCAAAAUUCAUCAACUAAUUAGAGCUUCAGAUACUUGUACCUGUGAAAAUAGGCUCUCUAUAAGCGAACACAUAUACUUCAGACAAAGCAGAAAUAGAAUUACUUUUCUUGAGGAAACUGAUGCACUUCAAUCUGCAUGCUAAUAAAAGAAUAAUCCAUAUGUGGAAAGCAGCAAUACAUACCUGAGAAAUGGAAUGAGAUGCCCAUAAAGCAUACUACUGAAUGAUAUGACAACACAAGCCUAAGGGAUAGGGUAACUUAUAGCAUAUGAAGGGAAAGUGAAAACAAAAAUCAGAUACAUAUAUAUUAACAGAAAGUGAAGAAAAUAAAGGAUUGAAAGAAAGAGAUGGAGAUGGGGUGACAGAUAGAGAGUAAGCACACAUAGCUUCAAGCAUGAAACCUUAUCAUCCAAGAAAGUACCAUGUGUGCUCACUCUCUUCUGUCACCUCCCUUACCCUAAUCUGCAUUCAUUUACUGAAAUCUGAUGUGUAUCAUUGCUGCAUAAUACUUCUGGAAUGGGUUGGAUGAGGGUUAAGGGGAGAGAAAAAAACAUUCAAUUGUUUCUCUAACAAUCAACACCCUUUUUUUUAUCAAACAUUCAACACAAGUUCACUUUCUCAUGGAACAAAUGACGAACUUGAAUUGCCCUUGUGUGAAGAACUGAAGGGGGAUGCAGGGUAUAUAUAGGGAAAGAGGAAAUGUUGCAUCACGU
rnacentral:lncRNA from 1 species